GGAUUAGAUACCCUAUUAUAUUUAAACAAAUUGGGUAGUAUUAUUAAUAAAAACCUUUAUACUUUGGCGGCAUUUUAUCUUAUUAGAGGAAUAUGUUCAUUAAUCGAAACCACACGAUAGUUUUUACUUACUAUAAAAUUUUAUAUACCCCCGUCUAAAGAAUUUAUUUAAAAUUUUUAUUCCAAAUUAUAUUAAAAAAAGUUAGGUAAAGGUGUAGACUAUUAGUAAGAUUAAAUGUAUUACAUUAAAAAAAAUUUAAGGAUAAAACAGUUAACUGUUUAUUAAAAGAGGAUUUAUAAGUAAUUUACUUUUAAUAAAAAUUAAUGAAUAAGAAAAUAAAUGUGCACAUAUCGCCCGUCAC
rnacentral:rRNA from 1 species